rnacentral:lncRNA from 1 species
GGGCAGCAGCUUGUGGAUUAUGUUCAGCCAUUGGUGCGGCUUGUUGGCAAAAUUCGGUUGCUUCAGAUGAAGCUUCUGCGGCUUGCUUUCUAAGUCUUCUGAGAGUGCGUUCAAUUUCUGGAUCAAAGGGCGGUGUGUCCCUGUGUUCAGAUCUGGUAAUGAAAGAAAAAAUAAACAAGUUAAAUCAAUUCCCCGGCAACGGCGCCAAUUUUUGACUCGCGGUUGUCGAAGCCGGUCAAAAAUAACCUUUCUGGUUAUCA